GCUGCAAACAUUGGGAUCAGCCGUGACUAUCCCAUAACAUAAUAUUUCUGAUUUCAUUCUUUUCCUUUCUCCUACCAAUUUAAUCUGCAAUCACUUCAAGAGAAGUCUGUUUAAAGGAUAUUCACAUUCUGUUCACAGAGUUUGAGAGGAACUGUAUUCAAGUUGCUGAAACCAAGAAGCUACACUCAUGAGUCUCACCUAAACUCGAAUCUGAUUUAGAUGACAUCAUCCUGGACUUUGAGUUGAUGAAAUCUUGGAGGUCUUGGGAGUAAAGUAAGUGUGAUUUGCAUAUGAUGGAUAUGAAUUGUAAUGGCCAGAGCAUGGCUGUGAGAUGAAAACUCCCAUUUUAGGGAACCAAGACUGAAUUCCAUGAUUUACAUGGAUGUUUGGAAGGUGUCUGCAACUUAAUCUGUGUUCGUUUCUGAGAUGUUGGGCAACUCCUUCUUGGAAGAUGUGGUAAUGGUCUCUUUGAAAAGAAAAUAAUCAUCUGAGUUUUGGCUGAAAUAGUUGAUCAGAUUACCUAUGAAAAUGACUCUCACCCAACUACAAGAAU
rnacentral:lncRNA from 1 species